rnacentral:lncRNA from 1 species
CAGACAUUGAAGACAGAAGUGGCUUCUAAACUCUUCAAUAAAACUGAGGAUGUCUAGCUCCUGCAGGCUGCAAGAGCUUCAUACCAAACUUCUUCCUUAAGGAUGUUCUGGAGAAGCCCAUGAGCCAAGCAAGGUGCUUUGCACAGGCCCAAACCACGGUAUUUUAAAUUAUAGCCUGUACUCUUCCAUUUCUUAAGCAUUACCAUUGAUUUGGGUAUCCAAAGCCUUUCUAGGCUUCAUCGUUUUUAUUUUCUUUUUUGUUGUUAUUGUUGUUAUUUUUCCCUUGUAUCCCUUCAAAAAAAUGUUCUAAUGUUGCCUAGAGCCUAGAGGAAGUGAUGUUGUUCUUCAUAAUGGAACAAGUGUGGAACUCUUAGAGUUUAGAAAUACAAAUACCCAAAUACUUGACACUUAUCUGGCCAUCUUAUAUAUAUUUCUGACUCUUGAUCUUUUUAUUGUUCACCUUGGAACCUGACUGUAGCAUGCUCAAUAUUCGUAUGUUACUGAUUUAAAGGAAAAGACUUUUUAAGUUUUUGUUGUUGUUGUUGUUAUGCUACACCAUAUACUGUUCUUGCCCCCUACUCUUGACCCUAUCGAGGAGAGAUGUUAUAGGGAAUGAUUUAAAUAUUACCGCAAUUUUUAUGUUUUAAAUGGCACAUGGGAAAAGAUGAGUUGCUUGACUAAGAUAUAUACCAAAAGAGAUCACAAGGAUUCUUUUAUGAUGGGAGGUUUUUUUUUUUUUUCCACCUUAUUUCAGAUUCAAGGCCAAUAAGAACUUUAUACAAUCUUCUGGACAAAGCUUGCUACAUCCUAAUCUCUGCAAAUCCACUCUGUUCUGUUCAUUGCUCUCCUUAUUAAUCAGUUCUACUGAGCUGUACCCUUCUCAGUACUGAUACACACACUGCAUUUUUAUGCUUCUGUUUCUGAGUGGCCUUUUCUAUAUUUUUGCUUUGUCUUGCAUUCGAUUAUUUACAGCUUGGUCUGUAGAAUAGGACGCCAUCACUGCCUGCAUUUAGGCAACAGCACAUUAUGUCAUCUUGCUUCAUAUAUUUUACUUCUAUCUCUUUUAGGAAGAAGCUCAUUUGAGAAAUCUUGGCUUUUUUGCCUUUGGGGAGAAAUCAUUUACCUUCUUUUAUCUCAGCUGAAAUAUGUCUCCUUAGUCCCUUUGUUAAUACAAAGAAAAAAACCUUAUUUACAUCUUCUUGGAUCCUAUUCUUUAGCUCAAUUGCCUAAUUGUUGCAGCUUUAAGAAAGACCUAGAGUCAUUUUGUUGCUUUCACUCAUUGUGGGUGUAUUUUAUGGGUUCCACAAUGCCACAUUCACAAUCCUGCUUACUUUCCUGAGAAAGGCUUUUCUGUUUCACUCCAAUGUGCAGCAUCAUGUGUGUGCUUCAUUUCCUUCUCACACAUAGGAAAUAUGGCUGAACAAUACCCCUAGAAAAGAGCAAAAGGAAGAUAUUAGACCUAGCAAUAGUGCCCACUGCCUUGGACUCUGCCUGAUGAUGCAGACAGUUCUAGAGUACUUGAUAUAUUUUUUUAAGAGUUUAGCCUGAUUUUUCUUCCUUUAUGUCUUUUCUAGUAUCUUAAUUGUUCCUUAGAAUGAAUUUCCCUACCAGAGAUUACUGUUUCCCUUUCUCUCUUGACAAUGCAGAGUAAAUCAGGGUGUGGAAUAUUACCCAUACAGCCCACUCUCUGAGAGGGAUUGCCGGCUGAAGCCAUGCUGUUCAUAUGCCAUUCUGUGCCCAACUGUGGAUAAUAACUGAAUUGAUUUUACCCUGGGAAAGACAAAGGAACCUCGGGCUGCUUUCUGAAUCAUUUUGUUCUCAGGUUAUUCUGCUCUGAAUGGUAAAAUCUCUUCUAGAGUACUGGGUCACAUUUAGCUUCUUUUAUGGUAAAUGCCCUGUGAGGGAAAUUCUGUGCAUCUGUGUGUGUAUGUGUGUGUGUAUGUGUGUGUGUGUGUUUGUAUUUGUGUCUCUGUCUGUCUGUGUUGCCAAACAAAUAUGAGUCAAAGAACAUGAGUAAGUUUGUUUUCAAGUCCCCAUGAAUUCCUUCCUUUUGUUUUUUUAAAAAGCAACAUGCUUUGAAGACAUACUUUUCUUAAAAUGAAGACUAAAACUUGACCUUUAGAUCCUCUUAAAGUUUAUAGAAUACCAUUGUUUAAUAAAUUGUAAUAUUGCCAUUAAUAAGCUCAACCUAUAUAAAUUAUAAGAGCCAUACUAAUAAUAAUCAUUAUAAAUUGAGUGCCUAGUACACCUCAUGCAUGUUAAUUCACUAAAUCCUUACGACAACUCCAUUUGGUAUAUAUUAUUAUUUACAUGCUACAGAUGCAGAAACUGAGACACACAGAGAGGUUAAGAAAUUUGCUCAGGUCAUGUACAGUACAAGGGGCAGGCUUAGGUUUCAAGCCAGUGACCCCCAAGUCUUAAUGAUAAAAUGUACAAUUUUCUACCUUAUUCAGGGAAAAUCUAUACCUCUUACAUAAAGACCAUUAUAUCAACAAUAUAUUUUAAAAAUAUUUUAAGGAAAUUGUGAUUAAAUAGUACGCAUUUGUAAAUUAUUUUAUUUAUAUUACCUUAAUUGUGAUUUAUUCAAUUCUAUUAUCCCACUAUGUUUACAAAUUAUCUUAAAUAAUGUGGUAAAAUUAGGGAAGUUAACAUAUAAUGAUUGUCACCUUUAAAAAAAAAUCUCAAAUCUGGCAUACUUGUUCUAUGACUCCUUGAAUUCUUAUUUUUAAUUUACAUCUCUGCUUCACUCUUUUUUUUCUAUUGAAGUUCACUGAUACUUUUAUGAAGAUGAGAAGGUACAUACUCAUCGAGACUGUCUCUAGCAAGUAUAAAGUCUUAGUUUUUGCCUGUCCUUAUGAUGUAUCCUGCCACACAUGUAGUCCAAGGAUAUUCAUCGUAAUGAGCUUGCGCUUCUUCCUGGAUGCCAUGAAGUGAGCAGCUUUUCCUCUACCACACCUCUCUGCCUUGAAGCUGGUUGACUACAGACUGAAACCUCUACAAACUGUGAGCCAAAAUACGGCUUUCCUCCUUUCAGUUGCAGGAUGUAGGUAUUACCUCUCAGUCAUGAGAAAGUGACUAUGACAGUCUUUUUUUAUGUUAUCCAAAGACAAGUUGCUUCAUAUUCUUAGAGAGUUAAAGAUAGUAAAUGAAAUCACUGUUCUGGUGGUCUUGGAAAAGUUGUAUUGCCCAUCACAUUGUGUAAAUGACUAUCAAGUUGGUGGCCAGAAUAUGAAUUAGUAUGUGGGCAUAAAUAUCGUAAGGCUUUUUGUCCUUCUCCCCCGAGACUUUGUACCAAAGCUUCACUCUUGGAUCAAUACAUCAAAUAAAGAAUAAGUGACACUCCAAAGUCAUACCAUCCUAUCAAAAUAAUUGUUCAUAAUUAAUAUAAUUAUUGAUCAAAUAGGAGAAGUCACUGUCUAGAUGAUAUAAAGCUGUUAGGAUUUCAUGGAAAUGUUUCACAACGUAAUUAUAUUUCCCUGGGAGAUUAUAAAACAAUUUAUUAUAAAACAAUUUAUUUUUUCCAUGUGUUUCAUCAAUCAUUCUGUGGAUUGAAGGAAUACCAGAAUUUCAUUUCUAUGUCAAUUUCUGCAGAAUUUCAAGUCAUUUCAGUAUUAUAGAACUGACUCGAAGACAGGGCCUCACCACACGGGAAUCAUGUCCUACCAUACUUGUAAUGCUGGAGCCCCAUUCUGUUGGAUUCAUAGUGUGUGACAAAGCUAACUGCAAUAAGCUCUGACAGCCCCAUUGGUUUUUAUUGCAAACCAAAUUGAGGCCUAUGUAAAAUUUCCUUCUUAUAUAUGCGAUGAGCUAUAUUCUUCUCUGGGCCUUGGUUUCCUUAUCCAAGGAUGCAAGUGGUGACUAGUUUCCUUUCUACUUGUAAAGCUCAGUAUUCCAGUUUUGCUCAUGAUUAAGCUUUUCAGAUGUCCACAAUGGUGGAUCUCAUGGAUAACUGGGACUCUUGUUAAAGUGUAGAUUAUGGCUCAGGAGGUCUGGGUGGCACCUGGGUUCCUAAUAACCUCUCAGAUGACAUUGAAGCAGCUGGCCUAUAAAGCCAUCUUUAGUAGCAAGGAUCUGAAUGAAACAGAGAAGUUAGGGGAUAAGACUAGCUUUUCAUUUUCCUGUGGUAACACAUUUCCUUUCCUGCCCUGGCUAUGAUUCCUCAUUUUCUUCUGCAGAGGACUGUCAUAUGCCUCCUCUUUCCUAAGUACGCUAAACCACAUUUGGGCUUCUAGAAGACGAAGUGCAUUCACACAUAUCAUAGAUUCCCUCUCCAAGAAGGAAGCCACAGAGCUUAUCAGGAAAGAUCUGUGCCUCUGUGUCAGGCAUCCCCAGCCCUGCUGAAAUAUGAAAUAAAUGAGGUGGAGUUUAAUUUUAGGGUCUACAAAUUUGUAAUGUGUUCAUCAUUCCUGUUGCCUUUUUACAGGGCAAGCUGAAGUUGUCAGACUUGUUUGGCGAGGAAAUCCGCAGUUGAGUUCUGGUUUAAUGAAGCACUCGCACCCUCACUUGUCCUUCCUCUAAUCUUUACCUGCAGCGAGGAGAAAGAUGGUUUCAGUGCUGAAAUUCGGCACCUCUUUUUGCUUUCCUAGGGGCACGUUCUUGGAGGGAUUUUCCCAAACUGGACUGCAAGCUGGCUUCCCAGUAGAGGGCGCAAUGCCCGAGUGGCAUGGCCCCAGAGCUGUUUCCUCCUCUUCUGGGGUUGACUCUCCCUGCUAAGCUGGGAGGGAUCAAAAAUGAGCUCUCAGGAAGGAAGGAGAGGAAGGCUAUUUUAAGGGAGAAAAUCAAAUCAAAUCAUUUCAGAUCGGAAUCACUGACUUUUAAAAUGAAAGGUCUAUUUGGCUACUGUUAAUGGGCAGCGUUUCAUAAUUCUCAGCUAUUCUAAGCCUACCUCUUCUUUCUCAAAGCUUCUCUGAAUCUUGCAUUGUCCAGCAUUUGUAUCUUUCACUUUAAUGUAGCGAAAUAGGAAUUAUAUAAAGAAUUUUAAUAAUUCUCACUGGACAGUUAAGCAGUGAGAAGUCUUUGGAACUGUUACUCUUUCUGCCUUUUACAGACAAGUGCUUCCACAGAAUCCAAGGGAAGAGAAGAAUAACAUAUAUAUAUAUAUCUAUAUCUAUAGAUAUAGAUAUAGAUAUACAUAUACAUAUACAUAUAUAUAUACAUAUACAUAUAUAUAUGUGUAUAUAUAUAUAUAUAAAAUGGUGUGUGGGUUAGUAAUUUUUUAGUAAUAAAUGAAUGACCUUCCUAACAAGCUAAAAUAGUGAAAUAGAAAUCCACAUUUUUAUGGCCUGCCCUCCCUGAACCCUACUGCCCACUUUCUGCAACGCACACAGGAAAUGAAUUCCCUGUAAUGUGGAGGGGGGGUUGAAUAUGUUAAUCUCAAAUUCUCUAAAUGUUUUGGUUCCCCGUAAAUCAUGUGGGCACGACUCAGCCUAGUUAUUCCUUACAAAUUCCUUUCUUUUUCUUUUUUAAAACUAGCUUCUGUUUUUCCUCAUUUUUGAUAGAUCCCACUGCAAACUUCAGCUACAGUAAGUGCAGGGGACCAAAACACUAUUCGCACAUAGAAGGUAUUUUAUUAAGUCCAGCAGUUAAAAAUGUACAAAGUUCCUUGUAAUAAUCCAUUCAUUCUGUUCUUGCCUGAUUCUUGGAGUAAGCCUGCACAAUUAUUCAAAUCCCAGCUUUUAGCUACAGCAUACACCUCGCCAUGGGGCUAUGCCUCUGUAAUCUUGCUUUGGUCUUGCAUGUCAAAUGGAAUUAACUCCCAUAAGAAAUAUGUGCAAAGACAACCCAAAGUGUCUAAUCCCGCUGCUGUCUUAAAUUUUUGAAACUCUGAGCUGUCAUCUUUUUCUGUUGCUUUGUUGAAGUUCUCACUUAUGCUUCAGUCCAUCCAAAGCUGAAGUUUAGGAAAAUUCGCAUUUUUAUAUAUAUUUUCAGUUAUGCUCUCCCUUGGCCUUUUCACAUUUUCUCUUUAUAGGAGAAUUUUUUUCUUCCUUCAAAUUCCAAGACCAUCUUAUACACAGUGGAAUUUCAAGAAGAGGUGAAUUUGCUUUUUCUGCCCACCCUCCAGUCUACAAGGGGAGGACAUUGAAUCUUGCUCCAGAUGGGUCUGUUAUAUAACCACAACCAGGAAUAUGGAGUUAUCCCAGAGCUGACUGGGCCAGAAAACAUGGAUAACACAAUGCAAAUCUGACCCUAUUGCUGCCGGAGUGAAUCCAGAAGCCCUAAUAUACCCUGAUCAUGCACAGACAGAGAGAAGGUUGAACAAAAACUGUAUGAAACCUGUGCAAAGGGAAAUAACUGAAUCUUCAACACUGAAAGGCUAAGAGGUCUUCCUCCAGUUAUUAAAGGAGUGAAAAUUGUUGAACUCUAUAGGCAUUUAAUUUGUCAUUAAGUAGUACUACAGUGCUGGAGGUGCCUGGAGAGAGUGGAAGAUCUGCCCACCACAGCCUGUCUCAGGCCUGCUGGUGACCAUCCAUGCAUAUCACCACCCAGAAGCUCCUCAUUCUUACCUGUCAGGCAGACAGGACCUCCCAUUGCCUCCUCUACAUUCCUGUCCUUUUUUGAAGCAUUAUGGUCCUUGUGUGAAGCUGGGAAUGGGGAAGUUCAAGAGACCACCUGCAAAAAGGACUGUGCAAAGCAUCUUCUCAAUAACCUUGCCAACUCCCUGCAGCUGCCACAGGUCACCAAGUUAUCUGAGGGGUUUGGUCCCCAGACCUUCCUAACCCAUCCACAAGACUCAGCCCAGAAAACACGAUAAAGAGCCCAAAGAUUCAAAGGAAGAUUUUGAACUUGAUGAUGGAGGAAUAAUACUUCUUGGAGAAAUGAAGAUAAAGAUUGUUUCAUUCUUGGUACACCUGAGUGUCCAGUACCCAGUGAAUGUGAUAAGAAGUGGGCUGCUUACAAAGGGUACCUAGGCAGUGACAUCUGCACCUCUCGGAACCAGAUGCCACUGUGGACAUUUUCUCAACCUUUUUCCACUGUGCACACAGCUUGGCGUCCUGGCAGGCCUUUCCCCUAAUUUUUAACCUUCAGAUAUUCUAAGAGGGAGCUGAACAUAUGGUACAAACUGAAUAAAUGGGAGCAGAUGACUGCAAAGAGAACGUGAUUUAAUGUCAGGAAGAUAGACAAGUAGGUCUUUCUUAAAUUGAUAUGUGGUUGUAGGACCAUUGAAUCAUUUCUAUGUGAAUGUUCCUUCCUAGAUUUAGUAAAAUACUUCAAUUUGUGAGAAAUCCCAUGUCAAUAACAUAUAAACCGAGGAAAGCUUUAAGAUCUGUGCAGCUCCCAGAACAUCCUUAGAUUGUCUCUGCUUGCUCUUGUCACUUCCUCAAUGCCAGUCAUUCUUGUACAUUUCUUCCAUUGUAUUUUUCAUGAAGUAAACACAGUUAUUACCACAGAUUAGCAGACAAAUCGAGGCAGGGCUUCUCUUUUCUCCAUGAAGUUCUUCUGGACUUGUUUAUAUUGUAACAUCUUUGAAGGUGAGACACAUUCUAGUCUACAUUUGUUGGUACCUGGCACAUAUUGAGUACAUGGCCAAUUUUUUGACAGUAUCAAUUAAUAGUCAAACACGGAUGAAUGAAAAAGUUGAUGUUUUGUGAAGCCCUCAAUGAUUUAGAGAACAUUUAGAAAUGAAUCCAUUUCAUUUCCAAAGAAAAUUUUGCAUUAAGUUUUUUUUUUAAUUCUCCCAAGUGAGAUUUGGGGAAAUUUCAUAUGAUAAACUCUUUACAUUAUCUUGCAGUAAUUCCACAGAAAUCUCUAUUUAUGUAAACACAGUAAAUGCAUCAUAACACUAGAAUAAGUGUACAAAUACUGCAUGUCAAAUUAGGUUAUAAUCACUUUCAAGGGACGUGAUUUCCUAGCUAAACAGAUUCCUUUACAUUUUGCAAAAUAAAAAAUAAGUGAAAAUAACUAUAUAAAAUCAGGCUUACAGCUGGACAGAACUUCUUGGCAAUGGUCCAGACACUGAGCAGGGAAAACCCCUACAGCUGAGGAGUGUGUAGGGACUCUCGGGAUGACUUUGCAGGCUUGGCCUGGAGAGCUGCUCCUUUGGCUGAUUCCUGAGUGUGUACCUGUCCCUGAUGACCUGUAGGGAGAGAAGCUACAUUAACAUUUAAAAUGAGACUUGCUGUGAGAGGAUUAGGGGGUAGUGGGAGCAGAGUGGAAAUUUGUUUGGUUAAAGGGAAUAAAAAAUGUAAUUUGACAUUUCACCCUUAGGUAAAAAAGCAUGAUAGAGAAAGUCAGGGGUCUUGUAACUAAAAAAGUAAAUAGUUGAAGCUAACAUUGGAAUUGUUGAACAUUAGGUCAGGGUUUGAUUGCCAUGGAUCCUGUGGUCCAACCCGUGGAAUACAGAUGGGGAAAUGCUGGCUGCAGUGCAAAAAGCAGGGCUAGGUCUUGAGAUCAAGAAGUCUGCCUCCACAAACUGAUGUAUAUCUAUGAAAUAAUUGAAGCCUGUUCUUUGAAGAGAGUGAAUAGUUUAACAACUACUCAUUCUGGUGCAUAUCUUUAAAAAAUACAUUCUACAUCUCUCCAACACUUUCUACAACACUCUCUUAUUUUGAUUCCACAAGGGUAUAAUUGUAAGCCUCAGUUGCAAUAGAAUACUACAUAACUCAGUGGUAUUCUCUGUAGCCUAUUGGUAAUGCAGAGCUUUCACUUAGCUUCAAUAAAUUGUGUGUUUGCAUUUGGUUAUCUUUCCUAUGUUCCCUUAACUGUGUUCAUGUGCUUAUUUUUGUUGAUUUCAAGAAGUGACUAAAAUGGGGGAUUUUUUAAAAUCUGUUAAUUUUGACUUGAAGGUAGCUCACAAUUCUAUAUGUAUGAAGUGUUUCUGUUUUAGUUUAACUGAUACUAAUUUUUACUCAAAAUACAGUUGUUGAACACAUUUUCUAUAUACUGUGCAAAAGUUUCCCUCCACAUUCCAUUGGCUGAACUGCUGUGACCAGGGGUUGGCAAACUAUGCCCUGAAAGCUGAAACUAGUUCAGUGCCUGAUCUUGUAAAUAAAGUUUUAUUGAAAUACAAUCAUGCUAAUUUGUUUGUGUAUCAUCUAUGGAUGUUUUUGCACUCAAAUGGCAGAGUUAAGUACAUGG